UCGCGGAGAUACCUUAUUGUUUUUCUCCUGUUUUUUACGGUCUUUCCUCGCGGAGAGGAAAGACCGUAAAAAACAGGAGAAAAACAAUAAGGUCUUUCCUCGCGGAGAGGAAAGACCUUAAU
rnacentral:sRNA from 1 species